rnacentral:miRNA from 1 species
AGGUGCAGCUGUAUAUGCAGG